GAUGAACGCUGGCGGCGUACUUAACACAUGCAAGUCGAACGGAAAGGCCCAAGCUUGCUUGGGUACUCGAGUGGCGAACGGGUGAGUAACACGUGGGUGAUCUGCCCUGCACUUCGGGAUAAGCCUGGGAAACUGGGUCUAAUACCGGAUAGGACCACAUUUUGGAUGGUGUGGUGGAAAGUUUUUCGGUGUGGGAUGAGCUCGCGGCCUAUCAGCUUGUUGGUGGGGUAAUGGCCUACCAAGGCGUCGACGGGUAGCCGGCCUGAGAGGGUGUACGGCCACAUUGGGACUGAGAUACGGCCCAGACUCCUACGGGAGGCAGCAGUGGGGAAUAUUGCACAAUGGGCGCAAGCCUGAUGCAGCGACGCCGCGUGGGGGAUGACGGCCUUCGGGUUGUAAACUCCUUUCGCUAGGGACGAAGCGCAAGUGACGGUACCUGGAGAAGAAGCACCGGCUAACUACGUG
rnacentral:rRNA from 1 species